GANGCGCGUGGCGNNCCCCCUAUACAUGCAAGCUCGAGCGGAUGANAGGAGCUUGCUCCUGGAUUCAGCGGCGGACGGGUGAGUAAUGCCUAGGAAUCUGCCUGGUAGUGGGGGACAACGUUUCGAAAGGAACGCUAAUACCGCAUACGUCCUACGGGAGAAAGCAGGGGACCUUCGGGCCUUGCGCUAUCAGAUGAGCCUAGGUCGGAUUAGCUAGUUGGUGAGGUAAUGGCUCACCAAGGCGACGAUCCGUAACUGGUCUGAGAGGAUGAUCAGUCACACUGGAACUGAGACACGGUCCAGACUCCUACGGGAGGCAGCAGUGGGGAAUAUUGGACAAUGGGCGAAAGCCUGAUCCAGCCAUGCCGCGUGUGUGAAGAAGGUCUUCGGAUUGUAAAGCACUUUAAGUUGGGAGGAAGGGUUGUAGAUUAAUACUCUGCAAUUUUGACGUUACCGACAGAAUAAGCACCGGCUAACUCUGUGCCAGCAGCCGCGGUAAUACAGAGGGUGCAAGCGUUAAUCGGAAUUACUGGGCGUAAAGCGCGCGUAGGUGGUUUGUUAAGUUGGAUGUGAAAUCCCCGGGCUCAACCUGGGAACUGCAUCCAAAACUGGCAAGCUAGAGUAUGGUAGAGGGUGGUGGAAUUUCCUGUGUAGCGGUGAAAUGCGUAGAUAUAGGAAGGAACACCAGUGGCGAAGGCGACCACCUGGACUGAUACUGACACUGAGGUGCGAAAGCGUGGGGAGCAACAGGAUUAGAUACCCUGGUAGUCCCNCCGUAAACGAUGUCACUAGCCGUUGGGAGCUUGACUCUANUGGCNCACUACCAUAANUNACNCNUGGGANUCGGCCCAGUUAACUCAAUGAUNACGGGCCCCACCGGGACUGGNUUAUCAACACCAAACUCCGGCUGNUCAGAUUCAAAGAUGGCUCGACUUANNGNUAGCUCCCCGCGAAUGUACCACACNCUNCNUCCUAGNGCUAGANGGACGAGGACCAUNGCUCCGCCUAGGAGUNCGGACANNCNCNCCGAANAAA
rnacentral:rRNA from 1 species